rnacentral:tRNA from 1 species
UAGCUCAGUUGGUUAGAGCACAUGACUAUUAAUCAUGCUGUCCUAGGUUAAAGAACUUGUUAAAGCGAAUAUGCUCUAGGG